rnacentral:lncRNA from 1 species
GGGCAGCCCAAAACCAUGCCUUCUGAUAGACCCCUCCCUUGCUGACUUGAAGCUCCACCAUGAGACUUGCUUUGACCAAUGGGGCAAGUAGCAAACUUGGCACAAGAGGCUUUGAAUAAACUCUUCCUCUCUGGCUCCUCUGCCUCACCCAUGAAAAGAUGCCUAGCCUGGCCAUUUGGAGGAUGAGAGAGCACUGAGUCAGUUCAGCCUGAAGCCAGGCCAGACAAGGAGACAGCUCUGAGAUACAGAAGAGUCCAGCCAAGAUCUGCAAAGCCACCUCAUUAACCUGCAGCUGAGGGCAGAGGCGUGAAUGAGCAACCUGGACAAAGACUGCCCACCUCACCUACAGACUCCUGAGCUAAAUAAGCAUGUAAUGUUUUAAGCCACUGAGUCUUGUGAUUGUUCAUUAAGCAGCAACAGAUAACUAAUACAAGAUGGAACUGGC